UACGUAGGGUGCGAGCGUUAAUCGGAAUUACUGGGCGUAAAGCGUGCGCAGGCGGCUCCUUACGUCAGAUGUGAAAGCCCCGGGCUUAACCUGGGAACUGCGUUUGAAACUGGGGAGCUGGAGUGUGGAAGAGGGGGGUGGAAUUCCAGGUGUAGCAGUGAAAUGCGUAGAGAUCUGGAGGAACACCGAUGGCGAAGGCAGCCCCCUGGGCUAACACUGACGCUCAUGCACGAAAGCGUGGGGAGCAAACAGG
rnacentral:rRNA from 1 species